ACUUGAGUAGUUUAAACGAAAAUUAUGAUUUGUGGUGUCAUAGAUGUAAAAUUUUACCUUAGGUU
rnacentral:tRNA from 1 species